GACGAACGCUGGCGGCGUGCCUAAUACAUGCAAGUCGAACGCAGUGGGAGCGGGUGAGUGACACGUGGGUAACCUCCCAUCAGAGGGGAUAACACUUGGCAACAGGUGCUAAACCGAUACUGAUGGAUCAACCCGCGGUGCAUUCGCUAGUUGGUGGGGUACCGGCUCACCAAGUCCACGAUGCCUAGCCGACCUGAGAGGGUGAUCUGCCACACUGGGACUGAGACACGGCCCAGACUCCUACGGGAGGCAGCAGUAGGGAAUCUUCGGCAAUGGACGAAAGUCUGACCGAGCAACGCCGCGUGAGUGAAGAAGGUUUUCGGAUCGUAAAACUCUGUUGUUAGAGAAGCGGUAUCUAACCAGAAAGCCACGGCUAACUACGUGCCAGCAGCCGCGGUAAUUC
rnacentral:rRNA from 1 species